AUUGAACGCUAGCGACAGGCUUAAUACAUGCAAGUCGAGGGGCAGCACAGGUAGCAAUACUGGGUGGCGACCGGCAAACGGGUGCGGAACACGUACACAACUUACCUUCUGGUGGGGGAUAGCCUUUGGAAACGGAGAUUAAUACCCCAUAUUAUAUAUGAGCUGAAUGGUUUGUAUAUUAAAGAUUUAUUGCCGGAAGAUGGGUGUGCGUAUGAUUAGGUAGUUGGCGGGGUAACGGCCUACCAAGCCGACGAUCAUUAACUGGUGUGAGGACACGACCGCUCACACGGGCACUGAGACACAUGCCCGACUCCUUCGGGAGGCAGCAGUAAGUAAUAUUGGUCAAUGGACGGAAGUUUGAACCAGCCAUGCCGCGUGGAGGAUGAAGGUCCUCUGGAUUGUAAACUUCCUUUAUAGGGGGCGAAAAAAGGGAAUUCUUUCUCGUCUGACGGUACCCUAUGAAUAAGCACCGGCUAACUCUGUGCCAGCCGCCGCCGUAAAAC
rnacentral:rRNA from 1 species